GCUCCAGUGGCGCAAURGGUUAGCGCGUGGUACUUAUAAUGCCGAGGUUGUGAGUUCAAGCCUCACCUAGAGCA
rnacentral:tRNA from 1 species